rnacentral:rRNA from 1 species
AGUGAACGCUGGCGGCAGGCCUAACACAUGCAAGUCGAACGGCAGCACAAGAGAGCUUGCUCUCUGGGUGGCGAGUGGCGGACGGGUGAGGAAUGCAUCGGAAUCUGCCCAUUUGUGGGGGAUAACCUCGGGAAACCGGGACUAAUACCGCAUACGACCUACGGGUGAAAGCAGGGGAUCUUCGGACCUUGCGCAGAUGGAUGAGCCGAUGCCGGAUUAGCUAGUUGGAGGGGUAAAGGCCCACCAAGGCGACGAUCCGUAGCUGGUCUGAGAGGAUGAUCAGCCACACUGGGACUGAGACACGGCCCAGACUCCUACGGGAGGCAGCAGUGGGGAAUAUUGGACAAUGGGCGCAAGCCUGAUCCAGCCAUGCCGCGUGUGUGAAGAAGGCCUUCGGGUUGUAAAGCACUCUUGUUGGAAAGAAAAGCAGCCGGUUAAUACCCGGUUGUCAUGACGGUACCCAAAGAAUAAGCACCGGCUAACUUCGUG